rnacentral:rRNA from 1 species
UACGAAGGGGGCUAGCGUUGUUCGGAUUUACUGGGCGUAAAGCGCGUGUAGGCGGGCUGGAAAGUUGGGGGUGAAAUCCCGAGGCUCAACCUCGGAACUGCCUCCAAAACUUCCAGCCUGGACUCAAGCAGAGGCAAGUGGAAUUGCGAGUGUAGAGGUGAAAUUCGUAGAUAUUCGCAGGAACACCAGUGGCGAAGGCGACUUGCUGGGCUUGUGGUGACGCUGAGACGCGAAAGCGUGGGGAGCGAACAGG